CCUACGGGUGGCAGCAGUGAGGAAUAUUGGUCAAUGGGCGCUAGCCUGAACCAGCCAAGUAGCGUGAAGGAUGACUGCCCUAUGGGUUGUAAACUUCUUUUAUAUGGGAGUAAAGUGAAGUAUGUAUACUUCUUUGCAUGUACCUUAUGAAUAAGGAUCGGCUAACUCCGUGCCAGCAGCCGCGGUAAUACGGAGGAUCCGAGCGUUAUCCGGAUUUAUUGGGUGUAAAGGGAGCGUAGGCGGGGAUGUAAGUCAGGUGUGAAAGUAUGCGGCCCAACCGUGAUACUGCAGUUGAUACUGGAUGCCUGGAGUACGGUAGAGGUAGGCGGAAUUCGUGGUGUAGCGGUGAAAUGCGUAGAUAUCACGAAGAACUCCGAGGGCGAAGGCAGCCUGCUGGACUGUAACUGACGCUGAUGCUCGAAAGUGUGGGUAUCGAACAGGAUUAGAUACCCGGGUAGUC
rnacentral:rRNA from 1 species